rfam:Ancylostoma ceylanicum strain HY135 Acey_s0004_scaf, whole genome shotgun sequence.
CUCGGUUACGGUGACAUGGUGCCCUCGACAGUAAUGGGGAAGAUCGUCGGUGGCAUCUGUUCGCUGUCCGGUGUGUUGGUGAUCGCGCUGCCUGUGCCGGUUAUCGUCAGCAAC